UAUCUCCUGCGAUGUGCGUUAAGCCUUUUUGUUUUGAACCGUACGUUUUGACCGGGAUUCUUAUAUCUGUUGUUGACAGCCAUGCCUGGGGACAGGAUCGCAAAAACAUCAACAUGCGGAAACCCACCUGCUAAUGCGGGUUCUCAAAACAGAUAGGAGACGGCAUCAGUGGGUAAUCC
rnacentral:other from 1 species